rnacentral:rRNA from 1 species
GAUGAACGCUGGCCGCGUGCCUAAUACAUGCAAGUCGAGCGAACGGACGAGAAGCUUGCUUCUCUGAUGUUAGCGGCGGACGGGUGAGUAACACGUGGAUAACCUACCUAUAUGACUGGGAUACCUUCGGGACACCGGAGCUAAUACCGGAUAAUCUUUUGAUACGCACGGUUCAAACGUGAAAGACGGUAUUGCUGUCACCUCUAGAUGGAUCCGCGCUGCAUUAGCUAGUUGGUAAGGUAACGGCUUACCAAGGCAACGAUGCAUAGCCGACCUGAGAGGGUGGUCGGCCACACUGGAACUGAGACACGGUCCAGACUCCUACGGGAGGCAGCAGUAGGGAAUCUUCCGCAAUGGGCGAAAGCCUGACGGAGCAACGCCGCGUGAGUGAUGAAGGUCUUCGGAUCGUAAAACUCUGUUAUUAGGGAAGAACAUAUGUGUAAGGUACUGUUCACAUCUUAGCGGUACUUAAUCAGAAAGCCACGGCUUACGAGGUG